rnacentral:rRNA from 2 species
GGUUAAGCGACUAAGCGUACACGGUGGAUGCCCUGGCAGUCAGAGGCGAUGAAGGACGUGCUAAUCUGCGAUAAGCGCCGGUAAGGUGAUAUGAACCGUUAUAACCGGCGAUACCCGAAUGGGGAAACCCAGUGUGACUCGUCACACUAUCAUUAACUGAAUCCAUAGGUUAAUGAGGCGAACCGGGGGAACUGAAACAUCUAAGUACCCCGAGGAAAAGAAAUCAACCGAGAUUCCCCCAGUAGCGGCGAGCGAACGGGGAGGAGCCCAGAGCCUGAAUCAGCAUGUGUGUUAGUGGAAGCGUCUGGAAAGGCGCGCGAUACAGGGUGACAGCCCCGUACACAAAAGCGCAUGUGCUGUGAGCUCGAUGAGUAGGGCGGGACACGUGGUAUCCUGUCUGAAUAUGGGGGGACCAUCCUCCAAGGCUAAAUACUCCUGACUGACCGAUAGUGAACCAGUACCGUGAGGGAAAGGCGAAAAGAACCCCGGCGAGGGGAGUGAAAAAGAACCUGAAACCGUGUACGUACAAGCAGUGGGAGC